UACGAAGGGGACUAGCGUUGUUCGGAAUCACUGGGCGUAAAGCGCACGUAGGCGGAUUUGUAAGUCAGGGGUGAAAUCCCGGGGCUCAACCUCGGAACUGCCUUUGAUACUGCGGAUCUCGAGUCCGAUAGAGGUGAGUGGAAUUCCUAGUGUAGAGGUGAAAUUCGUAGAUAUUAGGAAGAACACCGGUGGCGAAGGCGGCUCACUGGAUCGGUACUGACGCUGAGGUGCGAAAGCGUGGGGAGCAAACAGG
rnacentral:rRNA from 1 species